ACAGACAACGUCUUCGCUUCUCCUCGAGAACAUCAAAUCAUCAUCGCCCGACCUUUCUCUCUUCAGAAUCGAAGGUGGGUUCCCGUCGUUUUCGUCGGCCGGUGACCGUAUCGCAUUCUUCACAUACACUGGUGUCUACGUCGUGAACGCUAGACAGCUGAAGUUGCCAAAAGACAAGCACGUGUGCGAGAAGCACCAUUCCCAGAAAAUGCCGCAAAUAUCCAAUUAGCAGAAGCAAGGAUGCACGAGUUGAAAGCGAAUAUGUCAGUUUUUGGAUCGGAAUGAGAAGUAUCACUCAAUAAAGUAAAGAGAGAAAUUGGUAAGGAGGUGAGAUUUCUUCAAGAUUACAUAACUCAUUCCAAAUUCAAUGGGUAAAUU